AUUCGGGUUCCUCGGAUUAAAAGGGAAGCCUGUGAAAAUCAGGAGCUAUUCCCGUAGCUGUAAAGUUCUACCCCCACUCUCUGUCUCAAUGCCACUGACAAAUUCUCCGAUUGUCGGGAAGGCGGCAGAGAACAGAACAAGCCAGAAGACCUGCCCGCAUCG
rnacentral:ncRNA from 1 species